CGGUCGCUCCGUGGAGGCCCCGCCCACACCGAGACCCAGCCUCUCAGCCCCGACUGCAGAGAGGAAAGAGCUGCCGGGGCGAUCUGGGCCAUGGCUUCCGUUGGGGCUGGGCAAGUGCGCUACCACUGAGCUACGUCCCCAUGCCCACCCCAGUGGCACAGUUCUUACACAGAGAUUUGGGGAAAGGCAGAGCCUCCCUUCACUUGACAACCAUGCUCUGAGCACCUGCUGUGCCGAGCCUGUGAUGGGGUGAUCAGGGAGGACUUCCUGAGGCAGCGAUGCGGCUAGACCCUGGCCUAAUGCCACAAUAAAGGUAAUUCCUUUUACCUAAACACUCAGAUAUGAAAACAGAAACAAGUGUCUUCCAGACCUCCUAGCCCGCAAAACCCAGACCUCAGCCCCCCAGAAGCAACUGCCCCGUGGCACUGUGCAAAAUGCCGUGACAGUCGCAUAUAUAGAAGGCGCC